rnacentral:rRNA from 1 species
UGCAUGGAGCUGCCAUUGGUACAGAUCUUGGUGGAGAGUAGCAAAUAAUCGAAUGAGAUCUUGGAGGACUGAAGUGGAGAAGGGUUUCGUGUGAACAGUGGUUGAUCACGAGUUAGUCGGUCCUAAGUUUAAGGCGAAAGCCGCAAAAAUUUAAAGUUUUACACUCUUUUUGAUAAUAUAAAAUACUUUAAAUUAAAUUAAACGAAAGGGAAUACGGUUCCAAUUCCGUAACCUGUUGAGUAUACGUUUGUAAUAAAUAUGAUCUUAUGAUCAUCCUGGUAACAGAAACAAUCAUAGAGAAGCCGUCGAGAGGUAUUGGAAGAGUUUUCUUUUCUGUUUUAUAGUUGUACUACCAUGGAAGUCUUUCGAAGAGAGAUAUGGUAGAUGAGCUAGAAGAGCAUGGCAUUUACUGCUGUGUCAAUAUUUUCUCCUCGGACCUUGAAAAUCUAUGAUUGGGCCACGCAAACUUCUCAACAGGCCGUACCGAUAUCCGCAGCUGGUCUCCAAGGUGAAGAGUCUCUAGUCGAUAGAAUAAUGUAGGUAAGGGAAGUCGGC